GACAGAGGUCCCGAGCGUUAGGCGGAAUCACUGGGCUUAAAGCGUGUGUAGGCGGAGUGCUAAGUACCUUGUGAAAUCCCACGGCUUAACCGUGGAACUGCUGGGUAUACUGGUUCUCUUGGGCCACUUAGGGGUUACCGGAACAAACGGUGGAGCGGUGAAAUGCGUAGAUAUCAGAAGGAACAUCAGUGGCGAAAGCGGCUUCCUGGUCCAGUACCGACGUUCAGGCACGAAAGCGUGGGGAGCAAACAGG
rnacentral:rRNA from 1 species